UAAAAGGGCUUCUGCUGUACUGGCACAGAAGUGGGGGGAUGACUUCCACUUCUGCGGAAUCGCAAUCAAGAGAUUUCGGAAGCAUAAUUUUUAACACCGGGGAAGCUGAUGAUCGCUAGUCUCAGCGCCCCA
ensembl:snRNA U11 spliceosomal RNA